AUUGAACGCUGGCGGCAUGCCUUACACAUGCAAGUCGAGCGAUUCUCUUCGGAGAAGAGCGGCGGACGGGUGAGUAACGCGUGGGUAACCUGCCCUGUACACACGGAUAACAUACCGAAAGGUAUGCUAAUACGGGAUAAUAUGCUUUAGUCGCAUGGCUGAAGUAUCAAAGCUCCGGCGGUACAGGAUGGACCCGCGUCUGAUUGGCUAGUUGGUAAGGUAACGGCUUACCAAGGCGACGAUCAGUAGCCGACCUGAGAGGGUGAUCGGCCACAUUGGAACUGAGACACGGUCCAAACUCCUACGGGAGGCAGCAGUGGGGAAUAUUGCACAAUGGGCGAAAGCCUGAUGCAGCAACGCCGCGUGAGCGAUGAAGGCCUUCGGGUCGUAAAGCUCUGUCCUCAAGGAAGAUAAUGACGGUACUUGAGGAGGAGGCCCCGGCUAACUACGUGCCAGCCGCCGCGGUAA
rnacentral:rRNA from 1 species